UAUAUUCAUCUAAACAAACCCUAAUUGUUAUAAUCCCUCAUUCAUUCACACCGUUAUCCUGAAAAUGAAGAACGCCUUUGUCGAUCAUCCAUUGUUAUGUUCAAUAUAUCUAUUCAUCAAUGUCUUAAUCGAUUAAAGAACCCUAAAUCCCUCAUUCGGCUUCUUCAAGCUUCCUGGAUAUUGCUUUCUCCUUCCUAAAUGUUGAAGGCUAUGAAGUUUAAUCGAUUAACAUAUCAUCGCCGCUCUACUCGAUCACCAUUUUUUGCUCUAAUUCAUUAACUUAUUAGAUAAAAAAGGUUAAUGUUGCUUAUAACAAAGAUUUAGACCCAUCAAAGUUGAACUUUGGCUCAUGUGCUUAUAGACAUGAGGUUCUUGCCAUACCCUUGGGAUUUGCAUUUAGAGAGGUAUUAAUUGAGAGAUAAGCAGGAUUGUGUGAGCAAUGUUUCAUGGCUGGAAUGUGGCAAUCAGGUUGUGUAAGAGUUAAGCGACCACUGGAACAACGAGAUGAAAUCAACACGAUAAGGCAAUUUAUUAUCCUUUUAUAUUGAAAUCGAUGUUCAUUGGGCGUGUUAGGCAAGUUUGGUUGUGGUUCACAUUGGGUUUUGGGUCAAAACUGGCAAUGCAAAAUAGGUGUGUCAG